GCGCUGGUGGCGGUCUCGGCCACGCUCGGGGCCCUGCGGUGGCACCGCGAGCGGCCCGUGGUCGCGCCGCCGGUUGCGGUCCGGCCCGACGUG
rnacentral:tRNA from 1 species